CCUACGGGAGGCAGCAGUGAGGAAUAUUGGUCAAUGGGCGCGAGCCUGAACCAGCCAAGUAGCGUGAAGGAUGACUGCCCUACGGGUUGUAAACUUCUUUUAUAAAGGAAUAAAGUGAGGCACGUGUGCCUUUUUGUAUGUACUUUAUGAAUAAGGAUCGGCUAACUCCGUGCCAGCAGCCGCGGUAAUACGGAGGAUCCGAGCGUUAUCCGGAUUUAUUGGGUUUAAAGGGAGCGUAGGCGGCCUUUUAAGUCAGCGGUGAAAGUCUGUGGCUCAACCAUAGAAUUGCCGUUGAAACUGGGGGGCUUGAGUAUGUUUGAGGCAGGCGGAAUGCGUGGGGUAGCGGUGAAAUGCUUAGAUAUCACGCAGAACCCCGAUUGCGAAGGCAGCCUGCCAAGCCAUGACUGACGCUGAUGCACGAAAGCGUGGGGAUCAAACAGGAUUAGAUACCCCGGUAGUC
rnacentral:rRNA from 1 species